rnacentral:lncRNA from 1 species
GCCCUUUCUCAAUUCUGACAGGCAGUUCUCAUCUGCAGAGUUGGUCCCUGAGUCUAACUCAUCCCCUGCACUGGGGGGAGGUGGUGUGUGUUACGUUCCUGACACUGGCAUCUCUAAGAAGGGCUGAGAGACGAAACUGUGGAUACUUCCUGCCAGUGAGUAUAGACCAGGCAUGUCCAACUCCCAAGACACUGUGAUCUACUCCCACUAUAAAAAAACUGGCAGUGAACUGCCCAUUGGAUUGACCAAUAUUGUUGAGCGUUUUUGGGGGGAGCCUUCGCCAAAGUUAUUGAGCUUAUUUUAGGGAGCCAAAGUUGUUCAGCAUUUUGGGGGGAGCCUUCAACAAAGUUGUAGAGCUUUGGGGGGGCCUUCGCCAAAGUUUUUGAGCUUAUUUUGGGGAGCCAAAGUUGUUGAGCAUUUUUGGGGAGCCUUCAACAAAGUUGUAGGGCUUGGGGGGCUUCACAAAGGUUUUUGAGCUUAUUUUGGGGAGCCAAAGUUGUUGAGUUUUUUGGGGGAGGAAGACCAUUGUAUAGACAUUCUGAGUUCAACAGCUAAUGGUCAGGAGUGAUGGAGUGUAUGGUUAGUCACCACAGCUCUGGAGCCUCUUUUCAGAGUACCUCUGAGCAUAGACAGACUGCUUUCCCAACCAGCAGCUACUUAAAUGUUUCCUUGAUUGUCCUUGAACCUUCCUGCCACACAUGCCAUCCUCUCCGGCCACACCCUUUGAGCACCACUAAGCAAGAGGCAUGUUUAGAGUUCAGGGACACAUUACAGCCACACAGAAACAUUCAGGAGGCAAAUAAGCACCAGUGAGGGCCAUGGCCAGAGGACAGUCUCAAGAGCUGGAAAGAGAGGCAUAGAGGGCCACAUUGCAUGUGGGCCCUGGCCUUGGGGUUCCCCAACAACUGCUUUACAGUUUUUAGGUGCACGGUUCAAACAUCUUUGCUUCUUUUAAAAAAAAAUUAUGUUUCCAGCCAACAUGAGCCCUGUUUAUCAAAUGCUUAAAAUGUAUCCUAUGCACUGUUUGUGUAAUGCCCCUUUAAGCAGGCAGGUUGGGGGGAGGACAGAGGAAACACUAAAGGGAGAUGAUUUGGUUUGGCCUUUGGGAAUGAGCAUCUCUUUAAUGAGGUCCCAGUAAAUGAGCCUCUAGUUAUUUCUCUGCAGGGUGCCUUGAUCAAAGCCCGGCACUAAUAAACUGGUCUCCCAUGAAAAAAAUGGGGGGGAAAGGCUUCUUGAUCUAUCUGUGCUCUACUGGGUAUUAUUAUGAAGUGCAACCUGGGGCAAUUCAUUUAGCACUAAGGGUUUUGCUUCCCUACACCAAACAAAAGCUGCAGAAGGGAUGUUUUCUGCUAAUUAAGAAGAAAUGUGAGACGCAUAGCAAAUAUGUCACUGAAUCUCUUACAGUACAGCCUGAGCUCCACUGAAGUCAAAAGUUCAGACCCCGAGUUCCUUUGAUUCACCAACAGUAUAAUCUUUCCCCAACCUGGUGCCUUCUAGAUGUUUUGGACUACAAAUCCCAUAAUCACUAGCUGUCAGUGUUAGAAACUGAGAUAUGAAAGCUAGGAGCUAAAUGUCACCUUUAACCUAGGUUAUGGGCACAACAAUGGAGUGUCUAGGUGCACUUUUUUAUAAUGAGAAUACAAAGCUGAAAAUGAAUGAACUGCAGCUAAAAUCUUAUGUUUGUUUUUCACAUGGUCUAGUCCAUGUGUAGGCAAACUAAGGCCCAGGGGCCGGAUCCAGCCCAAUCGCCUUCUAAAUCAAACCCGCAGAUGGUCCGGGAAUCAGUGUGUUUUUACAUGAGUAGAAUGUGUCCUUUUAUUUAAAAUGCAUCUCUGGGUUAUUUGUGGGACAUAGGAAUUUUUUUUCUUAAAAAUAUAGUCCGGCCCCCCACAAGGUCUGAGGGACAGUGAACUGGCCCCCUGAUGAAAAAGUUUGCUGACCCCUGGUCCGACUCUAGUCCUCAUCUGAAGACUGCAAUAUUCUUAAGAGUGUCUCUUCUCCAGUCUUCAGAUAGUGGCUGGAAGUGGGGAGGCAGAAAAAGGUCCUCCUUUCCUUCCACUCUGCAGUUUUAAUCUGAAAUCUUAGGCGCAGUACUGAGCCCAGAGCCCAGAAACUGCUUGCGCUAAUGAAAUUCGUCUAGAACAAUGGGAAUUUCGAACGCUGCCAGCUGUGUAUGUUUACUCAAAAGCCGCACCAUGUUCAUUGGAGACUGACUCCUAGGAAAAUAUGCAUAGGGUGGCAGCCUUAGUUUCUUUCAGAUCUCAUAGGAGGCGUUUUUUCUUUUUUGACAGUACACAUUCUGGCUGGCUACAUUCUGUAUGUAGAAUUGGGGUGUGGGCACCAUCUUUUCCUUAGGCAACCAAAGGUCUUAGAUCGGCCACAAUUCUUGGUUAUCUUUGGAGGCCUGAUAUCCACAUUUUGCAUGGGAACACACAAAUAAUGCCAGUAUCUGUGAAGAAGCAGCACUGGCUUCAGCCCCUCAGUCAAGAGUUACCUUUCUGGAAGCUGCAAACCUGAGCAUGCUGUUUCACAGUUCAUGGAACAGGUAUGUAUUCUUGCCUAGAGAACUUAUGCAUUCAGAAAAUAGAAACAUAGCCUGACUUGAUUUAAGUAAGCAGGGAAGAAUCACAAGGAAAUAUUCAUGCCUGAGCCGUUGCUUACCUUUUGCAAAUAAAAACUGUAAAAAUAAGUACCUACUGUUUUUUCCCUUUUUAAAAUUAUUGGACAUUAUGCAUGAAGAAGAAAGGAAGACCAUCCAAACAGGAAAUCUUUGCUCUGUUAUUUUAGCUUUGUUUAGUUCAAGAAGCAGACACCUUUUUGUAGCACUCUUUCUCCAUUUGUAUCUUGUAUCCUGCACCAAGGAACAGAAGGAGGGGUGGAGAACUUCAGGACCAAAAUCCAACACAGAAUUCAAUUGCACUGAUUUUGGUGGACCAUGCAACCCAAUUCAGUGCAUGUUUGCUGUGAAGUGGGCCUGACUGCAACAAGACUGACUCAGUCUCUACACUGGAUUUUCCAAAGCGGCGCCCUUCAGAUUUUGUUGGACUCCAACUCCCAUCUGUGGGAAAUUCAGCUACAUAUAACCUGCAUGUUUAAUGCUAGUUAAUGCAAGAAGUAGUGGUGGUAGGGUUGUCAGGAGAAAGGAAAGAGGUUGACAGAUUGCUUCAUUAUGUCCAACCCAAUCUGCAUUACUCAAGCUCAGUGUCUCCAUUACCCCAUCGAUGCCAUUGCUUGCCCUUCAGAUGACCUCCUCCAUUUAACAGCUCAAGUGCAUUUCAAUACCACCAAUUUAUUUCCCUGAAACUCUCUUUGAGGGAAAAAAAUGGUUUCCAAUUAUCUCUUCACAGAAUGUGACACCCCCCUGACUUGUCCCUACUGCCUGCAGUAAUACGCAGCAAGCUACCUGAGUCUGAAGAUUAAUUCUCUCUCAACCCCAGUAUUAUAUUUCCUUCUCCCCAAGGUCUUCAUUAGUCCUUUAGCUUAAACUGAUUGCUUGCUUCUGAGAUGUACAUCGGAAGUGCUCUGGUUCUAUUCAUAUUAGUGAUUAUUCAAUUAAGUUGUCUGCCUGGUAGUCAAAUAGCAACACGCUCGUGACAUUCGGAGAUCAGGGUUCUCUGGUUGCUGGGAACGAGGAAACAGGCAGAGCACUUAAGGAGAGGCAAGGCGUCAGUCAUUAUGCUGAUGCACAGAGGAGAGGGCCUGAAGGACCAGGAUGUAAUGUCGGUGGCUGUUUUCCAAGGUGUGUCCAUCACCUUACAGCCACAAGCUGGAAGUGGACAGCACAACAGUUAAUGCCAUGCUAUUGCCAUUGGGCAGACAUGUCGUCACAAAUGCUUGUGCUAUCACAUCAGAGUCAGAUAGAUGUGGUGGCAACAGCUGCUUUUCUGCCCAGCUCAGUAAAGGAGAAUAUUCCUUUGUUUGCAGAAGUCCCCCAGUGUUAGAAGGUUCUCUUAAAUAACACAGAAAGAAAAAGAAAGCAAUAAUACCUUGCAGGGUAAAGUGAACAAAAUAACUGGGGGGAAAGAGGAGAAAUAAACAGAGAGGUGUGUUCUCCCCCUCCCCCUUUUUUCACAUUGUUCAGACCUAGUUCAUUGCAGGAGGAUAUCCAACAAUGAAACAUACAGGGGAAAACUCUCUCAGAACUGCACAGCCAAUCAGAGCAUGGAUCAGAAUGGCAAAGAUGAUGCCAUUCUGACUGGUUGCUAGGUAACACCACCAUGACCACCUCUUUGUUGGUUAACAGUCAACAGAAUUAACCUAUGGGUUACUAACUUCAAGCCCCAGGUUCACUCCUUGGUAUCCACAAGGUCCUGGGCAGCCCAGGACUUCCAUACACGCUGCCUAGGCUUGUGCCCCAGGGAGGUCACUUGGGUGUUGCUAACGCAGCAGUUUGACUUCACCCCCGGUGGCAUCCUCCAUUGUCUCUCAAGACAGAUGGAUGCCAGCAACAGCAGCAGUGCUCCCCGGCCAUCCUUGAAAUGUUGCCACACUAUGAGUUUGUACAGAAUUGUAUUAAUUGUUUGCUGAUUUUUUAAAAACCUUAUUUAUAUGCUAUUGUGUUCUUGAUAUGAUGAUAGGGAUUGUGAUGUUUGCUGAUUUUUAAAGCUAUUAUAAUUGAGAAAUCAACGUUGCUGUUGGAAAAGUGGAGUAUGAAAUCCUAACUCAAAUACAUUUGAAAGUGCAGUGAAACAAAAACCCUUCACAAAUUUAGGCUUUUUUAAAAAACCGAGAUGCAGCUAAGCUCAAAAGUUGUGACAUCGCAGACACUUUUCUUGCUCUGCCUAUUUAAAAAUAAGGUUAAGGCUCUAAAUGGAGUAGUUCAUGUUGGGAUGAAUACCCAUUUGUUCAAUAUUUUGUAUAUUCAGUUAAGGAAUAAAACGAAAGACCGCUACAUCUCUCAUUCUUGUUCAGCCAGCUGUCACAGGAAUCUAGGAGUGAAGAGGUCCUCCGCAUUAGAUAAAUGUUUGACAUUUACUUUUACUCAUUAGAUUUGCUUGAGUUCCACAAGUGUAACAAAAUCAGAAGGUUAAAGCCUCAUUGAGCUCCCUGAAUUCAGCUGGAUAAUAUUGUUAAUCUCUUUCCUGGUAAUGCUUAUCAAAACCCAUGAUUUUUGCCAUGUGUGUGUUUUAAUAGAUAAUCUCCAAAUGCAAAGCUGCUGAAAUGGAAAGAGGUUAUUGUUGUUUUUAAUAAGCAACAAUAAAAAGGGGCUUCUCUUUUCUCUUUGCUAUUGAGCUUUCACAGCAAAAUUGCAUCCUAAACAAACGCACAGCACCUGCAGUCAUUGAGGUCUAUUAACAGGCCCUGCCAAAUUAAAGAAGAACUACAUUUGAAACUUUUUCUUCCACCUGGAGUUUUAGUGACCAAUGAAAUACAUACAUUGCCAUUUUUAGUUAUCUCUGUGAUUGACGGUUGUUAAAAGGACAGGGGACACUAAGAUGGCUUUAUUUGCUGAGGUCAUGCGUGGUGAUUUUUGAGGUCACUGAAAAGGGAUUAGCUCUUGUUUGUGAGUGAUGAUUAUGAUGACCCACAUAGUCUAUGAUGGACGGAGAAGGGAUCUUCUCAGUUAAGGACUUUUGCAUUCCCAGUCAGGGCUCAAGCGCUUGCAUGUGGAAAUGAGUUCUUUUUCAUUCGACACAUCUGGAAAACCUAAGCAGCAGUGCCCAUCCCGCUCUAACUUUAACAAGGCCAUGUGUGUUAUUGCUUAGCUCAAGAAAAUAUUUUUCUCUUUAUGACUUGCUGGAAAAAGGCUCCCAUAAUAAAGUUCUCAGGGCAGAUACGAAUAGCUCCACUCCCAGCCAUCCCACCUCCAUCUUUUGCUGGCCGAAUCUGCCAAGGAGAACAACUUACUGGCUGAUCUUACGUGAUGUGUGUAUAUAUAUAUAUAUAUUAUCUCCUUUAAUAGGCCACCGGGGGAGCCAGAAUGUUGUAGAGUCGUAGGCCUCAAUAAAUAGGGAGAGGAAGACAGUUCAGUGUUGUGAUGUGCAUAUUCUGCAUCAACUUGGGAAGCAGCAAAAUGGACACAGCUUACCUGCCACAGAUGGUGUCAGUUUGCAUUUCUUGGUGUAGAAAGUAUUGAUCUGAUGUGUAGAGAUCUUUCCUAUUCUAAUUAAUUCAAGAGGGUUCUGGAAGCUUCUCUGUGCGAAAGAAAAAAGCAGAAGGUUCAUGAUGUUUGGGUUAUUCCUUCAGAGAAGCUAGUACAGCUGGCUUGAACUGGUUCUGUUAUAUUCUGUCAAGGUCAUGCUGACUAUAAAAAUAGGUCAGAAGAAGCAUGGGUUUCACUCUCUUUUUCUAUCUCUUCCUUCUGAUGUGGUGUUCUGUACAUAGUAUGCUUCGUGUUAAGUUUAUGCUGCAUCUGGAUUUCUUAUGGACAGUGCCAAUCCUGAACGUAUUGGAUUUGUAGCCAUUAUGCUCAUUUGCCUUCGGUAGCAGUAAAGCUCUGCUGGAUGAAAUAUUAAUUGCCUCUGGUCUAUUUUUGGGAAGCCUGCAAUAUGUGUAAGUUUUUACUGUGCUAACUAUAUAUUGGAAUCUACUCUGGAUCAAUAUUGAGAAGAAUUUUAACGACAGAUGGCGGCCCAGCCCAAGGGUCAACAGCCCUCCAUGUUUCUCUUGCCUGACUGGGACUUCAAAAUCAUAGAAUAUUGUAGAAUAGGAAGGGACCAUGGGAGUCAUCUAGUCCUCCCCCUGUAAUGCAGGAAUCUUUUGCCCAAUGUGGGGCUCAAAAUCAUUACCCUGAGAUUAAGAUGCUGUACUGACUAAGCCUUGGGGACUAAAAGGCUGCAAUAUAUGGUUGUAUGUGGAAUGGAGCGGGUAAUCUUCUCUUUUGCUUCAGGCAGCAAUCUUGAGUUGGCCAAGUUGUUGUUGCGGGGCUGCCAGGGAAUGCCCCAGAGCUGAGGGAGGGGGAAGAACAGGAGCCUUUAGAAAAGACAGGAGAGGGAGAGGAGGACAAGCAAGGGGAAGGAAUUCAUGCAGCAAGGACACUCCCGGAUGCUGGAGAGCAGCAACACCACUCGACUAGUUCGGGGACAGAGGGAGAUUCAAUGCCCAUUCCUUCAGCACAGGACAGGAGGGGGUUAAAACAUAGGGAACAAAGGAGGCGCUUGGGCCUUCCCAAGCUCCUCUGCUGGCGGAGGAGCAGAAAGCUCCCACUUCCUGGAUCUGCUGCCGAGGAUUCGGACGCAUGAAGCUAUGUUCUGUACCUUGUACAUAUGUACAGUGGUACCUCAGGAUACAUAUGCUUCAGGUUACAUACGCUUAAGGUUACAGACUCCGCUAACCCAGAAAUAGUGCUUCAGGUUAAGAACUUUGCUUCAGGAUGAGAACAGAAAUCAUGCUCUGGCGGCGCGGCAGCAGCAGGAGGCCCCAUUAGCUAAAGUGGUGCUUCAGGUUAAGAACAGUUUCAGGUUAAGAACGGACCUCCGGAACGAAUUAAGUACUUAACCCCAGGUACCACUGUAUGUAAAUAAAGACUGUAAAUAUAUCUCUGAGUGAGCAGAGGUAUUCCUUUCAAAAGGCUUCCAGACCUAUCACGGUUGUGCAGAAAGGUUGCCCAGGGAGAGUGAGAGAAACUUGCUCAAGAUUGCUCAGGGAGCGCCACUCCUGAGGAGUGAUACAGUAUUCACCAAAUAAAUAUCACAAACUGGCAGAUAAUGUAUGGGAUAUUAUGGCAUCAGACAUGGGCUUAUGAAAAGUAUGGGAUGAGGGGCCUAUUCAUUGUAAUAGAUACUCUAUAGAAAGCGAAGUAUACAAAGUAGAUACUGCAUAGAAAAAAAAACUACGAAAAUCUGUGCCAGUAAAACAAUUGAACAAUAAUUAGUACACUAUCAGAGUGCUGGUUUACAAAGAAAAACAACUCUAUAGCUUGCAGCUGCCCUAAAUUCCAAGCGCUGUACAGGCUUCCAGGUUCGAUGGUCAACUUGCUCUAAAACAGGAACUGCUUCAAAGUUUCAUAUUCUUAAAAAUCCAAGUUCUCCACAGGAGUGGCUAGGUCCACUCAAACCUGUUUAAAAGACUUAUUAAUUGUGGAUUUUCUAAGAGCUCCAAAGCUAGUUAGCCACAACAGAGUCAACAGCAAAUUUCCAAAUUGGCCAUAACCUGCACACCUUUGUUUUGCUUCAUGAAACCCACACAGAGAAGCAAUGUGGCGAAGUGAACUUUUGCUAAAGUAAAUGAACUUCAAAUCAUAGAAUUGUAGAGUUGGAGGUGACACUGAGGAUCAUCUAGCCUGAAAUAUACUCGGAGUCGAGUGUGGAUUUCAUGCUCUUUAUUCAGCUCAUAGUAGUGAGGAAUGAAAGUUCUCCCCAAAUAUCUGCUUUAUAUACAUUAUUUACACAAUGGGCCGCACGUGAUUGGCUAAUUCCAGGAUUCUCCCGUGGGCCAAUCAGGUUGCGGAUUCACUUCCACCUGGAGCUGGAUUGGGUGGCUCCUGCGGACCAAUCAUACUGCUACAUUGUUCUAGGACCAAUCAGACUGCUGCUUUUUGGAUCCUAUUCAACUCAGUACAUAACAUAGUCCAACCCUCUGAAACACAGGAAUAUGCAGCUGUCCCAUAUGGGAAUCAAACCUGCAACCUUGAUGUUAUCAGCACCACGCUCUCACCAACUGAGCUAUUGUGCCGCAACUUGCACCAGUGAGGCCUGGAUCAAAAUUUCUGUUCAGCUAUAUUUUUCCUUUAUAUUACUACAUCAUACUGCCUCUCUGAAAGAAGAUAUGGAAGGUGGAAUAAAAACACAGGGGGCUGCCUUACAAUGAGCCAAACCAUUGGCCUGUCUAGGCCAGUAUUGUCUGCAGUGAUUGGCUCUGGCUUUAUAGGGCUUCUGGCAGGCAUCUCUGACAGCCCACCCCGGAGAUAGCAGGACUUGAACCCAGGAUCUUCUGGAUGCAAAGCCGAUGUUCUUCCACUGAGCUAUGGCCUCUCCCUAAUCAACAUCCUCCACACCUGGGUUGCUUGUUAGCUUUUCCAUUUCACUUUGGGACAGUUUUGCAGAUUGUUAUUUUCUUCUUUUCAGCUUUCCAACCAUACCGUUCUUCAUUUAUUGUUGCUGCUCCAGCUCAUUUCGCUCUGCAGCCAGCAGAGGGCGAGCUGCUAAAGGCUUACUCUUUCAAGCAAGGAAGCAAAAUCAAAUGGUUUUCUUUUAAUAUUUGUCCUAUGGUGCGUUUUGCUCCACAAUAUGAGUAUUAUUAAUAAACACUUUAGAUUGAAACUGCAUUUCCGCUUAAUGAGAAGCCCAGAACGACGAGGCAUGUAGAUAUUCUGAAAAUGGUCUUGCUAUGCAAAUUGUCUUUACAGUUUGCUGUUAAGGCAGCUAAUUGUAUUAAAACCUACUGCUUAUUUUUGCAAAUGUUUCUGUUUAUUAUUCCCUGCUCAGUUAUGAAUAUAAUAUUUUCUUAAUUUUUUAAAAAAUGAUUUGAAUGUAAGAAAAAUGUAUUACAAAGGGGUGGGGUGGGGAGAGAGAAUAAGGAACCAUUGGGACAAAUCACAUAACUUUUCUUUUGCCACAGAAUACAAUAAAUCAAGAGUUCCAGAUCACAUGGGAAGCUGGUGUAACUUGUUACAAGUGGCAUUUAUUCCUGGGGGAAAAAAAUAAAAUAAAAUAUCUGGUGUAGCUGUGCCUUGCAACAUUCGAAUAUGGAGUAUCUCUUUUUCCAAAAUAGCAAUAUUCCAGAUGUUCUUGUACAAAGCAUCAGGUCCAAAUUCUGUACGGUGGUGUUUUCCAUAUAUGUACCAUAGACAAGUGUGCAGAAAUCAGCACCAAGAUUACUGGGUAUUUCAACAUACAGUAACUUUCUUCUUAGCUAUUAGGUCUAAAAAAAUAUUGUUGGAUACUGUUGCUUUUGGUUGCACUCUGAGUAAAUUGCAGUUAUCUUUACUGCAAAGCUGCAAGCAAAGAGAGCUCUUGCGUGGGGAAAAACAAGAGAGAACCCAUUUUGCAUUUGAAAAGAACAUGCAACAAUACAUUGCGUCCAUAUCUAUGUCCCAAUAACUGCUGCUUGGGUUUUAGCUUAGGGUGAAGCAUCUGAUUUUCAUGCAGAAGAUAGUAAAUUCAAUCCCUGGCAUCUCCUGUUAGGGCUGGGAAUGCCCCCUACCUAAAAACCUGGAGAGUCAGUACUGAGCUGUACUGUAUAAACCAAAAGUCAUGAACAUCUUGCUUUGUUUGGAAUUCAUUCUGCACACACACACACACACACAUUUUGUGGAUACAGUGGUGCCUCGCAAGACGAAUGCCUCGCAAGACGAAAAACUCGCUAGACGAAAGGGUUUUUCGUUUUUUGAGCUGCUUCGCAAGACGAUUUUCCCUAUGGGCUUGCUUCGCAAGACGGAAACAUCUUGCAAGUUUGUUUCCUUUUUCUUAACACCGUUAAUACAGUUGCGACUUGACUUCGAGGAGCAACUCAUAGAACGCAGUGUACAUAGUAGCCUUUUUAGAGGUUUUUAAAGACUUUGGUGAUUUUUGAAGCUUUUCCAAAACUUUCCCGACACCAUGCUUCGCAAGACGAAAAAAAUCGCAAGACGACAAAACUCGCGGAACGAAUUAAUUUCGUCUUGCGAGGCACCACUGUAGUGUACAUGUAUACAGAACCUCUUCAUUCCUUGCAUUAUUAUGUGCAAUUAUUAUACUUCCUUCAUUUUUAUCUCAUUUAUACUUCCUUCAUUAUUAUUCAUUCCUUGCAUUAUUAUGUUGCAUUAUUAUACUUUCCUAUAGUUUCCUCUAAAGCAGUGAUGGCCAAACUUGGCCCGCCAGCUGUUUUGGGACUACAAUUCCCAUCAUCCCUGACCACUGGUCCUGUUAGCUAGGCAUGAUGGGAGUUGUAGUCCAAAAACAGCUAGAGGGCCAAGUUUGGCCAUCACUGCUCUAAAGCAACCAUUUUGGAAAUGUCAAAAUUAUGGGAAUGGGCCCCAUUGUUGCAGUGGAACAUAAGAAGUUGCUUUCUACCUGGAGCAGAGAACCCUUUUGGCACGGGGAAGCAGAUCAUUUUCUCCCCCCAGAAACGAUGGCAUCAGAUGAUUGACAGGUGGGUGGUUCCACCCACCUGGCAAAGUUGGGGAGGUAGCUCUGGAGAAGGAUUUGAACUUCCUCUCAUCAGCUGAAGGGCAGGGGGUUAAAUCCUGCUUACUGCAAGGUUGAGCUAUGGGUGGGAGUUCACGGCGGAGAACUAGCUCAUGCAGCCAACCCGGCAGGAUUUAACCCCCCUCUCACAAUCAGCUGAUGAGUAGGUGGGUUCAAUCCUACUUUCUGCAGGGAUCAACAGCACAGCUAAACUCAGCAGAACUGAAUUCUGCCUCUUGCCCAUCUAGUGGUCUCAGUUGAUUGACAGGUGAGUGUGGUUCUUUAAAAAAGACCCCAUGGGCCAAAGUGGAACCCCUGGUGGGCUGAGAUCUCCCAUCCCUGCCUUAUCCCAAAUGAGACCAUUGCUUCUCCUUAUCUCCUUGUUGCUUCACUUAGUCCACACUGACUAACACGGAACAAAAACUAGGCCCAGUAAACAAAAAAACAGAAAAACAUAAUCCCUUAGCUUAUCCUGUAGUCCCAAUAAUAAAUUAAUGAAUCACUACCAUCAACUGCUACUGGAUACCUGGACUGGGGAUGUGAUUUUGGCUUCUCUUCUUGAGGUCAGAAACACACAACCCAGUUUUCAUUUCAAGUGUAGAUAACACAAGCUUGAGGAGAGAUGAUGGAAUUUCAGUCUGAGUAGAGUGAAAGUGAUCCUAAUUGCAACAUGAAGUUACCUAAUGUUCGAUGAGUAGCGCAGAUAUCAUCAAAAAGUGCACCCAAUUUUCCAUGAAAGUAAUUGCUCAGUAACGUUAAAAGCGUGUAAUUAGGCUGGGGAGGAAAAGAACAGAGAGGGUCGAUGAGAAAGUUACUGUCAAUUUCAAAUAUUUCGGCACUAAAAUGGCGCACUAGAAAGGAAUGGGACAACAAAUGUUCUUACAGUCUGAAGAUACAAAGAUGAAACAGCAUUGGCUGCAACCCAUAAUCAGUAUAGUUCCUAUAACAGCUAUAUAACACCUCUUUUUUCCCAUUUAUGCUCUGGUUGUUAGCUCACUACAUGUGUUUCCCAUGUUUUUGAUAGCUGAAGCAUUUUUCCCCCUGUGCUAAAAUUUGCCAGAAAUCACUAGCACUGCCGGGGGCAGGGGCGGCGGGGGAAAUGGGACAAAUAUAUAAGAAGUAGGUGCAAAGAAAUUUGGACAAAACCAAAGAAGAACAGGAAAGGGAAGCUGGGACUGCCACUCUAGCCAGCCUCUAUGGUUGCCUUUUCAAACACAUUCCCACCCAUGGGAAUUGCUAACUGUGGUUGUUCCAGAGUGUUGCUGUUUUUAGGUGGGAUUUAAUCACACAUGGGCAAAUUCAGGUUGUGCAAUUAAAGCUGAUUUGGAACUCUUCCACAACAAAUCCAUCCCCCCCCCCCAGGUCAGACUUUUUACGAUAAGCAAAGUUAUUCAAAACAGUCUGUUUUCUUCCAGCCCCUCUCCUGACCAUGCCAUUCAGGAAGAUGCAAUGAAUAACAGCCUUGAAGGCAUGUUCAAGGCCCAGAAGAGAGAAGGCUUUUUCUGUGGUGUCCCCACACUUCUGGAACUUCUUACCAGCUGACAGCCAGAAGUCCACCACAUUCCACUAUUUUUGGACAGCUAUUUCUGGAGGCUUUCAGAUAGGGCAUGUUAUUCAACUCUAUGGAUCUUUUACUGCUGGUUUUAUUAACUCUUUUAUGGAAUCAGUUAUUUGAAUUUGGAAGUUUCAGGCUGGGGGCUAUUUUAUCCUGUUACAGUUGAUCUUAAUAUGCAAGCAGCCGUGGAGGAAUUUUUAUUUGGAAAGGCAAAAUAUAAAGGUUUUUAAAGGAAUGAAGAAACAUCAAUCUCACUCAAGAGCCAGACUUGAGAGCGGCCUGGAAGCCAUACCUGACUUUCGUACAGCAAUCUGACCACCUAAGUAUAUCAAAGGCAAAACAUAGGAUUUAGAAACUUAAUUCCUAUCACUAUUUGUAAUGUUACCAUGCAAGGCUAGACCAGAAACUUGCAUUCAUUGUCAUCAAGGGCACUCACACCUUCCACUGACCUUCAGAACUCAUAAAACAUCUAG